UACGUAGGCAGCGAGCGUUGUUCGGAGUUACUGGGCGUAAAGCGUGCGUAGGCGGUUGUCUAAGUCUGGUGUGAAAAUCUCCCGGCUCAACUGGGAGGGUGCGCCGGAAAACUGGAUGACUGGAGUGCCGGAGAGGUAAAGCGGAAUUCCUGGUGUAGCGGUGAAAAUGCGUAGAGAUCAGGAGGAACACCUGUGGUGUAGACAGCUUACUGGACGGUGACUGACGCUGAGGCACGAAAAGCGUGGGGUAGCAAAACAGG
rnacentral:rRNA from 1 species